rnacentral:rRNA from 1 species
UACAGAGGGUGCGAGCGUUGUUCGGAAUUAUUGGGCGUAAAGCGCAUGUAGGCGGCUUUGCAAGUCGCGUGUGAAAGCUCCAGGCUCAACCUGGAAAGUGCGCGCGAAACUGUGAGGCUUGAGUGCCGGAGAGGGUGGCGGAAUUCCCGGUGUAGAGGUGAAAUUCGCAGAUAUCAGGAGGAACACCGGUGGCGAAGGCGGGGUCUCUGGGCAACAACUGACGCUGGAGGAGCGAAAGCGUGGGGAGCGAACAGG